rnacentral:rRNA from 1 species
GACGAACGCUGGCGGCGCGCUUAACACAUGCAAGUCGAACGGAAAGGCCUGCUUUCCCUUGUGGAUUGCGGGUACUCGCGUGGCGAACGGGUGAGUAACACGUGAGUGAUCUGCCCCCAACUUGGGUAUAAGCCUGGGAAACUGGGUCUAAUUCCCGAUAGGACUGCAGGGUGGUGCCUGUGGUGGAAAACGAUUUUCUAGUGGUUGGGGAUGAGCUCGCGGCCUAUCAGCUUGUUGGUGGGGUAAUGGCCUACCAAGGCGGCGACGGGUAGCCGGCCUGAGAGGGUGGACGGCCACAUUGGGACUGAGAUACGGCCCAGACGCCUACGGGAGGCAGCAGUGGGGAAUAUAGCACAAUGGGCGGAAGCCUGAUGCAGCGACGCCGCGUGGGGGAUGACGGCCUUCGGGUUGUAAACUCCUUUCGACCGCGAGGAAGCCACCUGGUUGGAAGGGUGGUGACGGUAGUGGUAGAAGAAGCACCGGCUAACUACGUG